CGCACUAAUCGGGGAGUCAGCGGUGCCCUGUACCCGCAAUCCGCUACAGCGGGGAUGAAUUCCCGCCCCCGGUUUUACGAUGUGCCGCAGCCUUGCAGCAAAGGCGCCGACGGGCCGGUCUCGCGCAACGCGGGCCUGUGAACCAUGUCAGGCGGGGAACCGAGCAGCAUUAAGCAGAAUCCUGCGUGUGCCGCGAGGGCGCCGGUCCUGAGCCGGACCUGCAAGUACC
rnacentral:SRP_RNA from 1 species